CCAGUGGCGUAGCCACGGGUGUGCCAGGGUGUGCCGGUGCCACCCAAAGUGGCAGCUGGCACACCUAAAAUAGGUCCAGGUGAAAUUGCAAGCACAACAAACCUCACAAGUAUCGAAAAUGGGAUACUUUCCCAUAGACUGGAGUGAGACCAUAGACGUCUCGCGAGCUGUCGCGAUCAUUCGUGGCUCUCUGUGGCUUGUAGCGCUAAGCCCUUCAGUUCAUGCAGAGCGGGCGUGAACGGACCAACUCUUCCACAUGUAAUAAACAUGAAUGAACAUCCAAAGGCAAAAACAAUUUUCCAGAUGUAGAUGUGCAGCACCAAGCUGAAGCAGCUCACAGGGACUGUGCUGGGAUGUGUGAUUGGCUCAUGGCUCAUAGGGAUGAUCAGAUGAAGUACCACUCUAUUGGCGUCACGGUCUUUCAGAGAGACUAAAGAGAAUCUAGAAUGUCCUCCAGUGACAGAUCUGAGAAGGACACAGACAAUCACUCUGGCACCAGACUGAAAGACACACAGCUUCACUAUACAAACAUACAAACCUUCUUCAGCAAACUCCAAGGCACAAAUACACAGAUUGCCAGACUCUGUACACUCAGCCGUUAACAUUAACACAGCUGCCCCUUCAUUCCCUAAUGGGAAUCCACAGUAGCAAGAGCCUUGUUUGUUUAAACAUUCAUUCAUUCAUUCAUUUGCUUGCAGUUUACAUAAUUGAUCUUAGCCAUUGCUGUCUUACUUGAUUAGCAUCACAGAGGAAAUAUUUAUUGUUCAAAGGUUGUUCUUUCAUAAAUCAAAAGACCCAAUUCUCAGUAUCAACUUUGUCUCAUUUUCCAAAAAUGACAAAAAAAUACACACAAGUGAGAGAAUUGUUGACAUACAGUAAGAAUAUAGAGCGAUAAAAUGAUUGUGGAUUGCACAGCUCAGAUAAUUUUGUGUACACUGUAAAAACAUUUGUAAUUUUUUUUUAUAGAAAACAACUAUAAAUUUGGUUAAGUUACCUUACCAUGUACAGUGGACAAUUGUAAAUGGUUGAACAAUGCAUUAUAUGUAAUAUUACUGUAAAUUACUGUCAAAUUGAUGCUUUUUUCCCAAAAAACUAUGAAUUACCAUAUCAUUUACAAAGACAUUUCCAGAAGUCCUUGCGUGACACGUCACAUAUGACUAUAUUUUCUUGAAAUAGUUUACAGAAGGGUGUUUUGUGUUAUGUUUCAUGUUAUUUAGUUAAUGUUUAUUGCAUUAUUUUAGUGUAAUGUAUGUUUCCCUGACUGUUUUGUUCCAUGUAUAUAAGUAGUUUUAUAUAAAUUCUAAUUCUGUUUUA